UGCGCCUACGGGAGGCAGCAGUGGGGGAUAUUGCACAAUGGGGGGAACCCUGAUGCAGCGACGCCGCGUGGGUGAAGAAGCGCCUCGGCGCGUAAAGCCCUGUCAGCAGGGAAGAAAAUGACGGUACCUGAAGAAGAAGCCCCGGCUAACUACGUGCCAGCAGCCGCGGUAAUACGUAGGGGGCAAGCGUUAUCCGGAUUUACUGGGUGUAAAGGGAGCGUAGACGGUAUGGCAAGUCUGAAGUGAAAGCCCCGGGCUCAACCUGGGAACUGCUUUGGAAACUGUUAAACUAGAGUGCUGGAGAG
rnacentral:rRNA from 1 species